CGAUGAUGCCCAGCUUGCUGGGCGGAUUAGUGGCGAACGGGUGAGUAAUACGUGAGUAACCUGCCCUUGACUCUGGGAUAAGCCUGGGAAACUGGGUCUAAUACUGGAUACUACCUCUUACCGCAUGGUGGGUGGUGGAAAGGGUUUUACUGGUUUUGGAUGGGCUCACGGCCUAUCAGCUUGUUGGUGGGGUAAUGGCUCACCAAGGCGACGACGGGUAGCCGGCCUGAGAGGGUGACCGGCCACACUGGGACUGAGACACGGCCCAGACUCCUACGGGAGGCAGCAGUGGGGAAUAUUGCACAAUGGGCGGAAGCCUGAUGCAGCGACGCCGCGUGAGGGAUGACGGCCUUCGGGUUGUAAACCUCUUUC
rnacentral:rRNA from 1 species